GAGGCGAGCGGCAGCGGACCGGCACCUACCUGCCGGCAGCAGCCCCGGGCAGAGCACGAAGAGCAGCGACACGAUCAUGUGGCAAUAAUCCAUAGCAAGCGGCGAAGGGCGGAUGGAAGAAGUGAGGGGAAACAGGCCUUCUGUCAAGGAGCAGAGUCAGUGUGGAAGCUGGACUCUUGAGGAGUGGCUGCAGCAGUGCCAUCACAGAUAUAGACAUGCAUGGAAUCCACUGAGGUCCCAACUGAGGGAGCCAGCCCAUGACUAUAAACUUAAUUAAGUGAACUCAGAAUGCCUGUGAUCCGCCGAGGAGCCGUCGUGCUGCGAAGCGUGCCAGUUUCACCUAUGAUAAAUAGAUAAGACUCUCUUGGUAUUUGUGGUAUUUCCGUGCACUGUGCUGUAAUAAUAGAAAUGACCUUGGCUAUCACAAAGAGCGGGACUGUUAAGCACAAGUUGCAUUGUGGUCUGGCAGGUGAAUGGCCAGUUUUUUAAAGUAUCAAAUUAUCCUGUGCCACUGUAUCACAGCGGACAGACUGUCUGCAGCCGUGCUGAGUCAGAAUAAAGGUCCAUUUAACUGGGAUCCUCUCUGCCACAAUGAAUGCUAGCAGAUGGAAUGAGAAGGAGUACAAGAACGGAAUGCAAGUGGAGACUAAUCCUUUCCUCGGUGUAACCUCCCUGCUUCUAACAGGAUGAAGUGUAGGGGCUUUCCAAGUAAUAAUGAACAUUUAGACCAUUAUGCUGAAUAAACACCAGUGGCCCCAUCCUGAGAUGGUCGUAUCUAUUUAUCAAAGGUAUUCUAAAAACUGCCCUGUAAAAUAUCUCUGAGUGGAGAAAGCUGGGUUAUACAACUUUUUUUUUUUCACACCUCUCCAGCGUGGGAGUUUAUUUUCCAGAGCAGGGAUUAUAUUGUCUUGUGUAUUAUGUCUCCUUGUGUACAUAGGGCAGGACUUACCGGAAUGCCAAUGUCUGUACCUAUGUGUUUGAAUUGCUGCAGUCAUGAUAAGAAUCUGCCAGCAGGGGUCACACAGCUACAUACAAAAAGUAAUCACAGCCCUCCGAAGUAAGGAACUUUAUCAGUGUCCUAAAGUUAGGAAAGAAACUAGGUGACUCUUUUUUCUUUCUCGGCAUUAAAAAAAAAAAAAAAAAAAAAAGAAAAAAAAAAAAAAAGAAAAAAAAAAAAGAAAACAAGGCAAAACGUGAAGCAGCUGUGUAGGUUGAAAAAUAACAAUCGUUCUGUAUUGAGUACAAAUAUGCAUAGCCUUUCCAGGCCUGACACUUCUGCCACUUCAAGACUGUCUUUCAUGCCAGUGCUUAUUUAAAUUUUUUUCCUGAGAUUCCUUUUUCUAAGAUGUGCUCUUGGAGCCAAGAUGACUCACAUUGGUGUAAGAUAUUUUCAGCCUUGUCAGACUACCUUGUUAGAAAGUAUUUUGUUAGCUGACAAAAACAGCAUGCAUGUUUCCUCUGAGUAACAAGGCACAAACAUAUCGCAGGCACUUCUGAAGAUGGUGUCCUUUUUUACCUUUAUUUUUAAUAACAAAAACAUUACAGCAAUUUUUCAUAAGAAUUCAUAAAUAUUAUUGUUGUCAGAGGCCCAUUUCCUCUGAUUCAGCGAUUUUUGGUAGCUCCACUUUCAGAUCUUGAGACUAACCAGAAUCGAGCUAUUCUGGUUGCUAUUUGAGUUGCUUGAGUAAUGCAAAAACAAACUUUUGUUCCAUUUGUUACCAGUGGGUCAUUUCAGGCCACGGGGAGUGCCGGGCCAGGAGGUGGGUUUCCCCAGGAAGGGGUAAUCCUGACCCCUGCUUGGACACUAUAAAACAAGAUCAGCUUUGUGCCAUGCAGAAAUACCCUUUGGGAAUUUGAAAAUUUGCUCACUUUAAAGCUGUUUAAAGGAGGAGUCCAACAGUAGGGGUCACAAUAGGGGCCUUAUAAAAUCUCCUGAAGAGGACUGAACUUUGGGCAGCAGCCAGUGUUUGCAGGAUGGAAACACAAAGUCAGGUAUUCCACAAGUCUUCCCAGUGCACGCCAAGCCAGAUCACCCCAAGAGCUGGAAGUUUGCACUGUAUUUGCACUGCUGCCCAUGAGGACAAGGGUGGAAGCAGGAGCUGAAGCUGGCUGCUCCUGCAGCAGUCCCUUUCUAGCUGGAGCACCUUGGGCUGCCACCUCUGAGACAUUGUGUUACAGAGCACAAACUCAGCUGGCCAGCCAGGCUGUGGUUGGAACGUUCCAGCUGGAAAGGGCCAUGGCACCGACUUUUCUAAAGGACAUUUUGUUUAGUGUCAGAAAUGUGAAAUGCCUGCUUAUCAGCAAAACAAUAAAAGGAGACUGUAGAACUGUGCCUUUCUCUCUAGGGAACAAGGGGAACAACAUGCUGUUUUCUGCAGAUUUGAAACACUAUUCUCAAUUAAAUGAAAGUUGUAUAA